UUUCCGUAGGUGAACCUGCGGAAGGAUCAUUAUUGUAUAACCGAGGUGCGAGGGCUGUCGCUGACCCGAAAGGUCGUGCACGCCCGAGUGCACUCACACACAUACAUCUCACCCCUAUGUGCACUGCCGCGUGGGUCCCCCUUUGGCUUGUUCGGAGGGGGGCUUACGUUUUCACACAAACUUUGUAUGCAGUGUAGAAUGUAUUUUUUGUUUUUGCGAUCACGCGAUCAAUACAACUUUCAACAACGGAUCUCUUGGCUCUC
rnacentral:misc_RNA from 1 species